GUGGGCGUAGCUCAGUUGGUAGAGCUCCGGAUUGUGGCUCCGGCGGUCGUGGGUUCAAAUCCCAUCGCUCACCCCA
rnacentral:tRNA from 3 species